GUGAGUAUAGUAUAGUGGUUAGUAUUCCUCGUUGUGGUCCCCUACUAAGGGUCAAGCCCGAGGUGACGCAAGUUCGAUUCCUGCUACUCACA